GCUUUGCCUGGCUGCAAAAAUGGCGGAUGUAAACUCAUGAAAAAAUGAUUUAAAGUUGGACUUUCACUCAGAACAUGGAGUAAUAAUGAAAGGAUGACCAAAACACCUUUUUAUGUAGACUUUCUAGAAGAUAGGAGACUUUCACGCUGAAGUUACGAAGAUUUUUGACCAGGACAGACGAAUCAUUACAGAACCUGCUUAAUCGCUUUUGGGGUCACGGGACAGCUGGAUCCAGCCUAGCUUCUGUUGGGUAAAGGUCUUGAGGCUCAGGUGUGACUGCUGCAACUAUCCCAAAGCUUUGUGCAUUAUGUCACUGCAGGAAAAGCUUAGAGCUGCUUGUCUUGCAGGAUGAAAGAGCUGCUGGUGAUUAAACUGGAGAGGAAUUCAUCAUGAUGCUUUUACCUAUCACAUCCCCUCACAUCAACCAAUGAAAAAUGAAUGGGCACUUUUAAAAACUGGCUGCAGGCAAAAUAGAGAGCCCACCACAGAGACAGCAGAGAAGAGGGAGGAGCACCGGCGCGAACUGCGAUGAUGAAUUGAUUGAUGAAUGCAAAUGAAGAUGAAUGCAUGUGGCAAACACAGAUAACAAGAGGAAUAUGAAGAGUACAACAGUCGCUUCACUGUCUCAUUGUGGCAGAAAAUAAGAGUAGCUGAUGUGUAUCUGGCCUAUUAAUGCCACGGCAGCGACAGUGAACGCACCACUAAACAGAUAUGUAUCUGUUAUCACAAACCAUAUGGCCCAAAAAUGAUAGCUGCCAGUCUUGCUGCACCACCUGGAAUCAAAUAACUGUGUUGGGACAAACAGUUGAGCUCCAUCGCCUCACAUCCUCACCUUUAUUACCAUAUGGACUGAUUCUAGUAGUGAGAUCACUGAGUACAUAGCCAGUUGAAUAAUGACCAGCUGUCCCCAGGGCAACAUCACUCCAUCACAAAACAUCCUGAGCAGCAAUAACUAGCAGACACAGGAAAGAGGAGAGUGUGUGGCUGUUUGAGAGAGGCGAUUCUCUAAAUAAAUCACCUUUAAUGGAAACAGGAUAAAUACGUUCAUGUCUCUCUCUUUCUCUGUCUGGAUACACAGUAUUUGUGCAUUGCACUACUUCAGGGGCUUUCUUCAUCCCAAAUGAAAGGGUCAGCAACAGCAUUUCUCUUUUUUACCCCUGUUGGUUUCAUUUGAAAGUUUCCUCUCUGUCACAAGUUUAAUAUUUCCUAAUGAAGAUUAGCCUGCAUGAAAACUGUUGACAACUUUCUGUGGGGGUUAUGAGCAGUAAUGAGGACCCCGUCUCUCGAAAGACAGAAUUGUUGGAGCAGAUUUUUUUUCUUCUUUUAAAGGUUGAACUCUUAAUGACAUGAGCACCACCAAUUAUUUUCUAUUUCUUGUGUGAGACGGGCGUCACUAUGGAGGUAGACAUUAUUUUUGCAACAGGGUUGUACUUUCUCCUUAAACAUUUUACCAAAUGUAACUUUUCAUGAAAAAAUAUAUAGCAAACUUAAUAUCUUUAAAAGGCAUUCUCCAACUUUAUCUGUGUGAUUGUUUUAUUCUUAUAUUAAAAAAGGUUUAACUUUUAUAAGUCGAAAUCUGCACUUUAAGGGUAAUAAAUCGGCAGAAAUCUGAUGAGAAUCAAUGAUUUGCGUCAAUAUUUCAGGAUAAACUUCUCUGUCUUAUCGUGUGUGUGAAAACCAAGCAUUGGUAUUACUAUUAUACUAUAUUACUAUAAUUAUUAUUUUUCCUCUAUUCAAGCACUUUUUGUUUAUCAUGUUAACUAUUCUAUUUUGUGUUUGAUUUUCUUUCUUUUUUAAUCAAUUUAAUAGUAAUCUACUUCUUAAAUUGCAUUUCCAACCUUAACGGUAACGAUUUUUAAUUCUUUUUUUUAAUUAACAGAAAAUUUGAUGGGGUACAUAUUUCAUGCUGGGAAUCUCCAGUGUGCAUCUUGGCAGACGGAGCCCUUCAUCUCCUCCCGUCUCUGCACUGCAGCCAAAUCAACAAUGGAGAACAUGUGUUUGUAACAAAUGUAGAAAUCCAACAAAACGAUCAGCAAGAUUCAGCCACCGGAGAAAGAAUAUCCAUAUACUGUAGCUCUUGAGUUUGAAUUUUAUCAAAAACACUAUUGACACAGUUGCAAUCUUUUUCUGUG